GACCGACGUCGAAUGAACCUGUCGAGCCAACCUCGUCUGAUGAGCUCCUCGAUCUCAUCUUGGAGUUGAAUGUAUUCCUCUGUGUCGUGGUCGUGGUCACGAUGGUAGAGGUAGAACUUGUUAGGAUUGCGCUUUUCGGGGUGUGUGCGCAUCCUUUCUGACCUUGAGAGCUGCUCUCUGACUUCCAUCAGCACCUGGGUUUUCGAUGCAUUAAGGGGGG
rnacentral:lncRNA from 1 species